rnacentral:rRNA from 1 species
AAAUAGAUACCCGGGUAGUCCUAGCCGUAAACGAUGAACACUAGGCGUAGUCGGUAUCGACCCCCGGCUGUGCCGUAGCUAACGCAUUAAGUGUUCCGCCUGGGGAGUACGGCCGCAAGGCUAAAACUCAAAGGAAUUGACGGGGGGCCCGCACAAGCAGCGGAGCGUGUGGUUUAAUUCGUCGCAACGCGAAGAACCUUACCAGGGCUUGACAUGUGGCGGAAAACGGCGGAAACGUCGUCCUCCCGCAAGGGACCGUCAUGCAGGUGUUGCAUGGCUGUCGUCAGCUCGUGUCGUGAGAUGUUGGGUUAAGUCCCGCAACGAGCGCAACCCCCGUGGCAUGUUGUAUCUCUCAUGCCAGACUGCCGAGAGAAACUCGGAGGAAGGUGGGGUAUGACGCCAAGUCAGCAUGGCCCUUACGUCCUGGGCUACACACACGCUACAAUGGCCGGUACAACGGGUUGCCGAAACCGCGAGGUGGAGCUAAUCCCUUAAAGCCGGUCUCAGUUCGGAUUGCAGGCUGCAACUCGCCUGCAUGAAGCCGGGU